rnacentral:lncRNA from 1 species
CACAAACCCCAUGGCAUGACAGACUUCGUGUGUAAGAAUCCCCGAUUUCAUCUCUGAAUUCAUUUACCAUAAGCCCCCUGUCAUCUCAGAAUUUGUGUAUCACUCUCCCCUGUGUGUUUUUGACUUCAUGCACAUCACUCCCCAGUGUCAUCUCUGACUUUGUGUGUCACACACCCAUGUAAGCUCUGAAUUUGAGUGUCAUUCUCUACAUGGUGUUUUGAGCUCCUACGUAACAUUCUCCCUGGUCUCUUUAACAUCAUGUGUAACAGUCCCCCUGGCAUCUCUGACAUACUGUUUAAUACUCCACCUGUAGUCCCUGACUUCGUGUGUCACACUGCCUUUCGUGUCUGUGACUUCAUGCAUCACAUUCACCAUGCCACUAUAACUUCUUGUGGAACACUUCCACUGGCUUCUGACAACCUGCACAACACUCCAUUUCAUGUCUAUGACUUAAUUUGUAACAAUUCUCCAGUCAUCUCUGACUUCGUGUGUAAUGCUCAAAUGGGUGUCUCUGAAUUCAUGUGUCACACCACACAUGGCAUCUCUGACUUCGAAUGUCAUACUCCCCCAUGCAUCUUUGACUUCAUGCAUAUCAAUCCCCCAGUUGUCUCUGACCCUGUGUGUAACACUCAACCUGACAUCUCUGUCUUUGUGUGUAACACUCCACAUGGUGUUUCUGACUUUUUCACACUCUUCCUGGCCUCUCUGACAUCAUGUUUCACACUUCAGCUGUGGUCUCUGACUUCCUGUAUCACAUUCUCCAUGUUGUUUGUGACUUCGUGUUUCACACUGCCCCUGUCAUGUCCAACUUUGUGCAUAACACUUCCAAGGCCAUCUCUGACUUCGUGUGUCGUAAUCCUCCUUGUGUCUGACUUUGUGUGUCACACUCACCCUGCCAUCUAUCAUUUCGUGUGUAACACUCCCACUGGCGACUCUGACUUGAGGUGUAGCAUUUCCCAAUGCACUUUUUACUUCAAGUGUCACAGUCUACCUGUAGUCUCUGACUUCAUGUGUCACACUCCCUGUGGUGUCUCUGAUUUCCUGCAUAACAUUCCCAAUGGGUCUCUGACUUGUGAGGUAACACAGCCCUGUGGCGUAUCUGACAUCAUUCAUAACACUACUCCAGGCAUCACUGACAUCGUGUGUCAGGCUACCCCUGGCAUCUCUGAGUUCUUGUUUCACCCUCCCCCUGGCAUCUCUGACUUUGUGUGUAACACUCCCACUUGUCUCUCUGACAUCCUAUGUCGCUGUCACAAUCCAAUGUACACAUCAGGAUAGAUGCGGAGAGGGCUGAUGGCCACUCUGAGUUUAUUAUAACCAGCAUUUCAAUAUAUACAUAGCUUACAUCUGUUAAACAUACACAGAUG